UCAUCAUUUCUGCAGCAUUCGCAAUCUCCGACUCUCCAUUCAUAGUCGCUCACAAGAAGGCCACUCUCACAAAGCUCGAUUCCGGGGCCGAACAUGUCUCUGUCUCCAUCGACAUCUAUAACCGUGGAUCUGCCCAAGGGGCGCAGAGAAGAAGGCUCUGUUAGACAGUGGAGCUGUUUCGAUAGAACAAAGAACAAGAUUCUGAAUAGAGGGAGCCUGAGAGAUUAGAAAGAAAGAAAAAGCUACCAUUGAAGAGGUCUCCGUAGCUGAAGCAAUCCAAAACUUCAGCACUGUUUCCGUAAGGCGGACAACAUUCCGGAGAAUCGACGGGCAUCGGUUUUCGGAAUCCUACCUUCGUCUGCGGAAACCUCUCUACUCGCUUCCUCUCCACUCCUUCCAUCUUCCAGUUCGUUCAGGUUUAGCCCUAGAAAAAGAACAGCUCUCUAGCUUUUUGCCGUCCAUCUGUUCGACAAAAUGCCUCAGUGAACUCUGCUACUGAGAAGUGAUAAGAUGAUUAAGGAGAAAGAGAGAGAGAGACAGAGGGACAAAGAGAGAGGCAGAGAGGGCAGCAAGCUAUCAAUGAAGAAGGGCAAACAAGCUAAGAGUAAAUUAGCGAAGAGUAAAUCAAAAUGUAAAUUUGUUAAGUGCAAAUCAACCGAGGUCUCCUUGCAAGAGUUUGAUAAUCAGGUGGAUGUUCAAAUAUCUAUCGAUGAGAUGCCUGCUGUACUCUCCCGCAGGUCUACAUGCAUUCGAGGAGCCCCCAAAUUUCUCAUAUCUGGAGAUUUUGUGGGACCAUGGCAAGGGCCCUCGAAUGAAAACAAAAGGGGUUUAAGGGAUGUGGAAUCGGAGGAUAGCUCAAUUGAGUGUGAUUGUGUCGAUCUAUGUUUGUGUGGAAAUCUUGGUAUACCACGGUUGCAAUUGAAUGUGGAAAUGCAAGCUUCAACUGAGCAAUCAUCAAAGCAGCAUCAAACACCUAAUGCAUGGAACACACCAACUAGAGUCCUAAUUGAUCUUGAGCAGUGGCCAAAAUUGGCCAUUGUUUCCCCACUGGCGGCAAAUGAAAUGAUAAUGACAAAUAAACUUGGCUCACCUAGUGUUGAUCAAAGGAGAGAAGUAAUUGGCACCAAGCAACAUAAGAGUGUUGAAAAUGUGCAAGCUUGUAGAAAUGAGGAUUUGGUUGAACUACAUAUGGAAGACACACAAUCUGGCAAGAGUGAAUGUCUUGAUGGUGAUACAACUGCUAUAUCAGUGCUGCAUAUGAUGUCAAUUUUACUGAUAAUAGCUGGGCCCAAGAAGUCUUUGAGCUUGUUGGUGGCAACACUACCAAAACAUGGGAAAGACUUGUUGCAGUGAAAGCCAUGUAUUAUGGCACCCCUGCUGCCAUCACAUUCCGAAUCCCCAUGAAGUCCAAACUACAGGUUUGAUAUUUCAAAACGUGUCCGAUGGGUUAAUUUUUUAGAAUGUCAUGUCUCUAUCUUUGACUUGUUUGUUUGUUUGUUGUCUAUUUCUUGGACGCAUAUCCAACUCCAAUCCUACCACUGGAUAUCCUUGCUGAUAGAAUCCCAGCAAAGAAGUUAGAAUUGCACCUCAUGGCGGCUGAAUGCUAUUAGGUGAAGAGGUUUUUCGCUGAGUAUGGCUCCCUAAUUUCAGUCAUCUGCAUUGU